rnacentral:tRNA from 1 species
GGCCGCGUCGCGAGGACACGACGUGGUGGCGCUCGACCUGCCGGACGUGGACGUGACGUCGUACGGCGCGCUGUCCGAGGCGGUCGCGGGCU